rnacentral:rRNA from 1 species
CGUGCUCAUCGGAGGUGCGGGAUGCCCCCGAUCUCGUCACGUCUCGGAAGAUAAGUGGGCUGAAGCCUGAGUUGGCACUUGGAUAGGAGACUGCCUGGGAAUAACGACAGGUAUUUGUAGGC